GGGUCAGUAGGUUGGUCGUGCCACCGGUACGUACUGGUCUCACUGAUUCCCCCUUCCUGAAGAACCGUAAUGCCAUUAAUUUGGUGUUGCGGGGAAACAGGGCUGUUACUUUGAAAAAAUUAGAGUGUUUAAAGCAGGCUAACGCUUGAAUACAUUAGCAUGGAAUAAUGAAAUAGGACGAUCGAUCCUAUUUUGUUGGUUUCUAGGAUUGACGUA
rnacentral:rRNA from 1 species